rnacentral:lncRNA from 1 species
CUGACAUAGUUAAUGUUUUAAAAUAAUUAUCUUACAUAGUUAGUUUUAUAACUAUUUUUAUGUGAGCCUCAUAUACAAAUAUUCUACACAAGAUAUAUAACUAAUACACGAUUCUCUCUCACUUAAUUAAUUUUUCAAACAUUUUCUCUUAUCUGAUUGGUUACUUUGCACAUGAUAUAACUAUACCAUUAUUAAAGAGAUUUCAACGUACAUCAUCUUCCUCGUCACUUUCUUGAAGACAAAGCUCACACCUAUUUUCCUCGCUGCCUCCCUCUCGGACAACUCCCAUGUCGACAACCCCCUCUUCCUCAUCCUCGUCACUUGCCACCUUAUUUUCUAGUGAAACCCCAAGUUGUUUGAUGAAUUGAUCGAAAAAUAAAUAUUUUGAACAACUAGAUCCACCUGAAAGCUUGAAUAAGAAAAUUCCAAAACGGACAAACUUAACUAAAUCAAAAACUGAAUCUAACCCAAACAUACAUUGUGGCGGCGGUGAAGUUUUUGUUGUUGUUGUUAUUGUCGGUUCCAUCGAAAUAGUAAAGGAAAGAGGGGUUACUAGAGGUUUUGCGUGGUGGAUUUUGUUGGGUUAUUAAAAGCAGGAUGUUGACAGAGAAAAAGACACGCAAUAGUUAUUCUUUCAGAUCUGAUUGCUGGCCAGAGUGGAGUCGAUGGUGGUUCUUUACCGCCAUCUGAAGUGAUGUUGUUCUUCGUCGUCUGCAGUUGAAAUGCAUUUAUACAUAUGUAUAUUUGUAUCUUAGUCAUAAAGUGAAUUUUUUGUAUAUUUAUAUUAGCGCGUUUGUAUUUUUAUAUUUAUUUUUAGGAGUUUUACAUAAAUUUCGACUAGUUUAUCCACACUCUAUUUCAAUUUCUUUUAAUUUUAAAAAAUUUUAAUUUUUUAUUUUGCAGAUAUAUAAUAUUAAAAGAGAUAAAUGUUGAUGUUACAUAUUACGAAACAACUAAUUCACUGUAAUUAUGAAAAGUAACGAUAAUUAACUCAUUUAAGAAGUAAUUUACUAAGCAAAUCUUCUAAUUAACAUCUAAAUACCUCAAAAGAUGACAUUUAGUUAAUAAUGCAAUUUUUUUAAAAAAUAUUUUUCUCCAUAUUCAACUUUCAAAUUCAUUCUUCUUUAGCUUUUCUCUUUUUUUCUUGGCGUUAUUUUCCUUUUUCAACUUUUUGUGAUGAAUUUCAAACCCUAAAAAAAGAUACAAAUAUUGGGUAAAAAAGUAUCAUGGUAAGACAUGAUGUAUCAAUUUAAAAAAUGAGAUUUGAAAUACAAAUGCAUAAGAAAUACACAAUAUGAAAAAUAUAUCAAGUGCAAAGAUACAUAUUUUAAAAGAGAUACGUACAAAAACCUUCUAACUAUAUACAUGUAUAUGAAAGAGACAUAUCAAAAAAUAUAGAAAAAAUUACAUGAGCUAGUAACCUUAAAACAUUAAUUACAAUUAAUAGUAAUAGUUUCUCAAAAUUACAACUAAUAAUAAAACUAGCAAUACUUUACCUUUUUUAGGAAAAAGCGCGUGACUUGAACUCCUUUUUUUACCUUAUCCUUUUUUCAUGCUACUUUAUCAAUUUCAGUUCCCUUCAACCUUCAAUUUUUUUUUCAAAUACCAUUUUUAUCUCUUAAGAUCUUGAUAAACAUUGCAUUCAUAUAUUAAGGUAAUUUUAUUUUACAGUUAAUGCAUGUUAUAUUUUUCAUAUAAAUUCUUUUAUGUAUUUUACUGUUGAAUUUUUUUUCAAAUUUUUCAUUCUUCUUCUACGAUUUAGUCUGUUAGUUUUUUUUUUUGUGUGUGUGUUGAAAUUUUUAAAGUUCUGCUAUAAUGGCACAACAUGCAAAUCAUAAUAGUUCAGUUAGAGGUAUUCAACCGAUGAAUUUAGUUUUCGAUGAACUACCAUCGCUUAAUCUUGGGUUAACACAAGAUGAAGAUUUUAACGUGUGUUCUACUAAUAUUCAACCUAAGGGAGGUGUUAGCAGUGAAGAAGUGAGAUUGAAGCACCAUAACAAUUCGAAAAACAUUGUGAAAAAAUAAAACAAAAAGAUUUGAGAAAAUCUUCAUCCCCAAAAUUCACAAAAAUUCAAAAAAUUGAUGAAAAAGAGGAAGUCGGAUGAAAAAGGUGAAUCUAGUAAAAUUGCAAGUCUUGUUUCAUCUGAUUAUGAAUUCGAAGAAGAGAAAGUGGAGGAGGUAUGAUGUUAUUUGUAAAAUUUUAUAAUUUCUGGACAACAUAUUCAUAUAUGUAUUUUAUAUAUACAAUUUAUUAGGUGUGUAUUUAUUUUUCGAUUUUGUUAAGAUAUGAAAUUGUAGUCCCUAAUGUGUUGUUAAAUUGUAGUCCCUAAUUGUAUUUAUUUUAUAUUUGUUAUAUGUAAGAUAUGUAGUUUGUACAAAGGUUUGUUACUGAUAAGAAUUGUAUAUGUUAUGUAUUUUGUAUAUUUUUUAUAUGUAUUUGUAUUUAAGGUAUGUGUAAGAUAUUUGUAUUUGUCACUGAUAAGAUAUUUGUAUUUGUCACUGAUAUGUAUUUGUAUUUGUCGCUGAUAUGUAUUUGUAUUUGUCACUGAUAAGAUAUGCGAAGAUUUGUAUUUAAUGUUAAGUUGUAUUUGUUAUUCAUUAGAUUUUGACUAUGAUAUGUACUUCUUUCUUCUUGAUAAGCAUGAUUUUUGUACCAGUUAUGUAUAAACAAAAUAAAUAUGUAUUUGAUUUGCUUAAAAUAUAUGAAAUGUAUUUAUUACCGGUUAGAUAUAUUUUUUUUGUUAUUGCUAAUAUUUGUAUUUUUAACUCUCAUGUAUUUGUUAUUCAUGAGAUGAUGACAAUGUUUGUAUUGAUGUUUGAUAACUUAGAUAUGGACCAGUGAUGUAUUCACAAAAUACAUAUGAUAGUUUUAGGUAUAUAUAGUUUCAUUAUUUGGUAUGUAGAAAAUACAUAUGUGGCACUUUUUAGAAAUAUAAUUGUAUUUUUUAAUGUAUUUGAAAAUACAUAUAUGAUUCAUUGUCCUCUGCUGGUCAUGAUGUUGUUGUACUUUCCAAAAUUAAAAAGUUAGCAAAGAUUAUACUUUUAUGUCUCAUGGCCUGUAAUUUCUAUGAAAAGAGUGUAUUGAUAUUGACAAUCAUCCAUAUUACAAAGAUAAAGAUAAGUUAGAUCUAUUUGAUUUUUGUUUUACGAAUGAUUUGCCUCAACAACCAAGUGACAGCUUGUAAGUACUGAAUAUACAUAUUACAUGUAUAACAAUAUAUAUUUAUUUUUUAAUAGAUUUUUAUUGCUAAAUGUAUUUGUAGAGACUAUGGAUUGUAUAUGGUCACAUAUGCUGAGAUCCUUACUUAUGGUGAAGGUGUUCCUUAUGUUGUCUUUGAUUCAGGCCUUUUUCGCACAAGAUAUGCUUCACUUUUGUGAGAUUAUGGUUCGAGAAAAGAAAAAGAUAAGGCACAAAGUGAUGAUGAAUCAUCAAUGAGGCCUCUUAAAAAAAUGGGAUAACAGAAGACACUGAAGUUCUUGAAAUUUGAUGACUUUUUAAUAUUUUAUUUUUGAUAGCAGUUAACUUUAGAUGGACAAAGACGUAUUUUAAUAGUUCUUAAAUUUUGCGUAUUACUUUCAUGUUGAAUGUUGAAAGUUUUGUAGAACUUGAUAGUUAUAUUUUAAUUAUUGAUGUUAAAUCAACUUAAAUUGAAUGUUUCGUUGUUAGUUUUAUGUUUCUGUUGCAUAUGUAUUUUUCCAGUUAUGCAUAUGUAUUUAUAAGGAUGCAUAUGUAUUGAUAUGCAUAUGUAUUUUCAGUUAAGCUUAGAUUUUUUAAAGAUGUGCAUAUGUAUUUUAUAGUUCUUUAUAUGUAUUUUUAAAAAUUUUUAAUGUUUGCAUAUGUAGUUUACAUAGAACUAUCCAUAUAUAAAACUAAAAAUAUAUAUAUAUAUUUUCAGAUUUAUAUAUGUAUAUUCCAAGUUAUUGUAUUUUUUUUAUUGAUUAUGUUGGAAUAUUUAUUGAUUACAAAUAGAAUGACGUUGAAUAAAUUUAAAAUAAUAUUUUUAAUUUUCGUUUUAUGUUUAAUAUCACAUUUGUUGUACAAAUUUUGAUUAUUGAUGUUGAAUCAACUUACAUUGAAUGUUUCGUAGUUAGUUUUAUGUUUUUUGAUUAGUUUUAUAUUUUUGUUAGACAUAUGCAGUUAUGCAUAUGUAUCUAUAUGGAUGCAUAUGUAUUUUCUAGUUCUGCAUAUGAAUUUAUAUGACUGAAUAUGUAUUCAUAGAUAUGCAUAUGUAUUUUCAGUUAUGCUUGGGUUCUUACAUAUGUGCAUAUGUAUUGUAUAGGUCUCUAUAUGUUACUUUUCAGAUUAUUAAUGUUUGCAUAUAUAGAUUACAUAGAAUUAUACAUAAUAAAACUAAAAAUACAUAUAUAUUUGUAUCAAUAUAUAUAUAUAUAUAUAUAUAUUAUUUCCCAAGGUAUCCCCCCAGCCGGCAGCCGUGAGACUAAUCCUCCGUUCCUCGGUCAGCUUAUUUUACGGUAGGAAACUGACCACGGAGUUUGUUCCAUUCGCCAGAGGCGGGGAUCGAACCCCCAACCUCUUGCUUAAGGGACAUAGUGCUGAACCACUAUGGCAACUCUGGUGGUUUGUAUCAAUAUAUUUAAUUAGAAUCAAUUACAUUCAUUUAUUCAUAAUGAACUAAAAUAACUUUCAAGUUCAGUAAAUAAAUGCAACAAUUUUAAGAGUAAACAAAUUCAAAUACAUGAAACAUAUGACUUCAAAUACAUCUCCGAUAAUGCAUCAUGUGACUUUCUAUAAUUUUUUCACAUUUUUUCAUAGAUGCCACAUACAUGCAUAAUUCGGUACAUCUUUGUACACAACACCAACAACUUUUAUGAUGCUUCCAUUACAACCAGAAACAACACACAUGUGUUUUAUUUCACUGUAUGCCUCCUUCAGAUUCUCAAAGAACCAAGUCCAAGAUACAUCAUUUUCUAAAUUAAGCACACCAUAUGCCAAAGGAAAUAUAUGUCCUGCAUAUGUAAAUAAAUACAUAUAAAUGAAUAAUCUGAAUGAUAGGCAAACACUCUCAUUUAACUUAAUAAGAAAAUGUAUAUGACACAUUACAAUAAUUAAGUAUGUUUCACAUAUAAAAAUUCAGUUAACAUGUUGAUCUUAUACAUUUAUAGAGUAAAUCAUGAUUGCUAAUACAUAUUAUACUAUAUGUGUUUUUUUCAUGAAUGGUAGUUCAAUACACACACAUGUUUUGUACACGUUGAAGGACAUGACAUUUGAACACAUAUACAUACUGCAUAUGUAUAUUAUAUAUACAUAUAGCUGAAAACAUAUAAGAGUGAAAUGUAAUUUUUAGAUAACAGUGAAAUUAUCAAAUACAUACUAUUUCAUUCUGUCAAAUUUGUAAAAUAAAUAUUAAUAUACAACUGUCAAAACAAAAUACAAUGAUUUUUAUUAAUUAUACAAAUGCAACAAUAACAUAUAAUUAAACUCAAAUAAUUUUAUUGAGAUAAACUCAUAAGUUAUCAUUAAGUUCAUGUCAAACACAAUCUUAAAAAUUUACGAAUAUAUAAAUACAAUCUGAAAAAAAAGAAGAAGAAACUACUAAAAGCAUAUCAAUUAAAAUUAUUUUUUUAACAAAUACGAAUAAUAUUCAAAUUUGUACGAAUAUGUUGAAAAAAAGUAUUUCGCAGAAAACAAUGAUUGCUAAAUUUGAUAAAAUUCAUAUACGAACUCAAAUUAUGAAUUAUACUGUAUGGAUUCACAGAAAAUAAUUUGAGUUCAUACACGAACUCAAAUUUGAGUUCGUAGAUGGAUUUGUAGAAAACAAUGACUGCUAAAUUUUAUGAAAUUCAUAUACGAACUCAAAUUUUAAAUUAUAGCGUAUGAAUUCGCAUAAGACAAUUUGAGUUCAUAUACGAACUCAAAUUUUAGUUCGUAUAUGGAUUCGCAGAAAAUAAUGACUGCUAAAUUUGAUGAAAUCCAUAUAUUAUCGCAGUGUUGAUUUAUUUUUUUUGAAAUUUAGACGCAAAUCAAAUAUUACGCACAAAAUUUGAUAAAAUUCAAAUACACAAAUCAAAUUCGUUUUUCAAUACCUAUAAUUGCAGUAUUUUUUUUUUUGAAAUUUAGAAACUCUUCAACUUCAAUCUGAUUUUUUGAAUUUGUUUUGGGUUGCUGAUCAUGGAAAACGAUUUUGAAUUUUAAAAAAAGUAACUGUAAAAUAAUAACAAAUGUUAAAAAAGAGUCAUAUAAUAAAAAGGAAUCUAUAAAAUUAAAUAAAUGCCAUGAAUUAAGGAAUUCGUAUAAUUAAAUAUACCUAAAUUAAGGAAUAGUUUCUUUCCUUAUUUAACUCUAACUGAUUAGAGUUAAAUUAGAAACGGAUUCUAUAUUUGUAUAUGUAUUUAUAUAGCAACAUUUUACUCAAAUACAUAAUACAUAUUACUAUUUUUCGUAAUUUUAAAAUUGUUACUAUAAAAGUUAUAAUUAAGGUUUUAUAGUUGCUACUUUUGAAAUUUUCUCAAAAAUAUAUCAGGCAUAUAGAUACAAGAAUAUGCACCUGGAACAUGCAUAUAGAACUAAGCUAAAUUAUGUAUCUUCAGCUAAUAAAAAAAGUAUCUCGAAGUAAAAUGCUUAGAUACAAAAAGUGCUAAACCUUUGUUAAAAUGUCUCUCGUUGUGACUACAACAAUUUUUCUUUUCGAAACAACACUUUUUUGUCUUCAAGUGCCAAAUUUUUUCUCUUCGAUGAAAUGGGUUAAUGGAGUUCACAGUGUUUCAUCCUAAGUCAUCUAUUGAAUCGUUAUUUGCUGGGUUAAGAAUUGACAGUGAGCGAAGACACUGUACGAAACUUCAUUAGUUGAUUUAUGUCAAGAACUUGCAGUUCAACCUCAACAACUACUUCGCAAUCCUCAAUUGAAAUCUGUAGGCAUCAUAUUCUAUUUGACUUAAGAAAUUCACUGCUCAUCUCUGUCGGCGGUGGGCGUAUAUAGGUCCAGGGAAUAGGGAAAUAGUUAAAAUAUAUUUUUUUUAGAAAAAUAUUAAUGAUAUUAAACUGGUGGAGAAAAUAUAUUAAUAUAAAUUUUUAGGGGGCAAUAAAUAUAUCCUAAUUUUUAGAGUAGAAGUUAUGUAUUGGAGAUUUAAAGAGAGAGAAAAUGUAAAUAAGGGAUAUUUAUAAUGUUUAUUAUGUGAAGAGAUUUUUAGUAAUUUAGAUAUCUUAAGUUGUGGUUUUGUGAUAUUAAUCCUUUAUUUUAUUAUAUUUCUUCUCUUUUCAAUCAAUUUUCAUUUUGAAUGCAUAGAUACAUUUUGCAUUUGUAUAUAUUUAUACAUUUGAAUUUGUAUAUUUAUACAUAUAAUCUGAAUUUAUACCUAUUUUAUACAUCUGAAUUUGUAUCAAUUCAUGUUUAUCUUGAAGAUAUGGGUAAAUAUUAUUUGUAUCUUUGAAUUUUUUUUAGUCAUAAAGUGAAUUUGUUUGUAAAGUUCUGUCAGUAUAUUUUUUUUUUUUUUUGUGUGUAUGAUUAUACAUGUCCUUAAAUUUGUCUUUGCACAUGUAUUCUUAAUGUAUUUUGUAAAUGCAUUAUAUAUACUUAAAGCCUUGAUAUUUAAUAUCUUGUUGUUUCCAUUCUGUAUACAUAUAUAUUUAAUUGUUUUAUGUAUAUAUGUGUACUCUAUGUAUAUGGAUUGAUUUUAUGAGUAAAUACAUGAUUACCCCCUGAUCUUAUCCGAGAUUUGCAAAAAGACACCUAAACUUUAACUUUGACCUAUUACCCCACGAUUCUUCUUUAUUUCGUUGCAAACACGCCAUUUUGACCCCCUGUGUGUACACACGCUUCACAGGAGCGUGAACGGGCUCAAAUUUAACUUUUUUGACCAAUUACAAGCUUCCACGUGUAAAUAAUUUAAUAUAUAAUUUAUAUAUAUAUUUUUUUAAAUAAUAUUUAUUUAUUUUUAAAAAUUAUUUCAUACCCCCUCCUCACCCCCCGCAACCCAUCCACCAUUGUCUUCUUCCCCAACUUUUCUUCAUCACGAUCACUCAACAACAUCAAUUACAACAACAACAUCAAUUACGCCCACAACAACAACAUCAUCAUCACCAUAACCCCACCCUUUCUUCUUCAACACAAUGCCACCAUUAAAGCUCCUUCAUUGAAGCGUUUUUUUUUUUUUAAAUCAUAUCAUUGAAGCUUCAUUUUGCAAUUAAAUCAUAUCAUUUAACUAUCCACCAUUUCUUCUUCAACACUAACUUUUUCAACACCAUUGAAGUCUUCAACAAAAUGUCACCAUUAAAGCUCUUUCAUUAAAGUUUUUUUAUAAAGCUCCAUUAAAGCUCCUCCAUUAAAGCUUCAUUAAAGCUCAUUUAACUUUCUUUAAAACUCAAUUCAAUCAUUUAACUAUCCUUAAAACUCAAUUCAAUCAUAAAAUUAAUUUUUGAAUUGAUUUGAACAACAAAAAAAAAUUGGACGGGGAGAGUGCUGGACUUAAGGCGACGAGGGGGAGGGGGAGGUGCUGGAGGAGGUGCUGGAUUGGGGGUGAGGGGAAAGAGGGGGUGGGGUGGGGUGUUAAAUUAAAUAAAAAGGAAAAUUGCAUUAAAAAAUAAAAAUAUAUGAAAUUAAACGUAUUUGACACGUGGCAACACCUGAUUGGCGCGUGUAUUUCACUCUCCUUGUUGUGACUAAGAUUCAGCGAAAAUUGGUGUGUUUGCAACGAAAUAAAAAAGAAUCGUGAGUUAAUAGGUCGAAGUUAAAGUUUAGGUGUCUUUUUGCAAAAUUCGAACAAGAUCAGGGGAGUAAUUAUGUAUUUACUCUAAUUUUAUAGAAUCCAUUGAUGUUAUUGUAUACAUAUGUAUAUACAUAUAUGGAAAGAGAUUAUUGUGGGGAAAUUGGAGAAAAUAAUUCCUGUCAUUUUCUUUAUUAAUCUCGUAAUUGAAAAGAAAAAAAAUGUUUUUUAUAUUUUUGUAUAAUUUUUUUUUAAAUACAAGUAGACAUUAACUACCUGUCUAUAGAAUAUAAAUAUUGAAAGUUAGACUAAUUAAUUAGUUAAGAGGGAUCUAAGAUAACUAUAUAUAAAAUUUUGCCUUUCAUAGCUUCUUUUAAAUGAUCAAUUUUAAAGGGAAAAACCUCGAAAUGCAUACAAGUGUGCCUCUCCUAGCCAAAUACUGACUCAAUUCACUCAUUGCGUGGGAGUCUUAGCCGAUAUACGACGACGCCUUUUAAUUCAACAAAGUACUUCAAAAAUCCCAAACAUGGACAUGAAUUUCGUGAAUAUUUAUCCGUUUAUAUUCUUUAGUCUUAGAACUAAGUUUUGAAAGAAAAGACGAGUAACGAACUUUCUAUAAAAGCUUUAGACAUUGCUAUAUAUGAAGAUUUUCAAUUAAAAAAUUCCGCGCUUUUAUGCCGAAGAUUAAACUUUAAGGGUGUGUUUGGUAUGAAGGAAAAUAUUUUUCAUGGAAAAUAUUUUCCUAGAAAAUGUUUUCUUGGAAAAUAAGUUAGUUUCUUACUUGUUUUCUUAGGUUUGGUUGGUGGAUGGAAAAUAUUUUAUGAAAAAUAUUUUCUAGUGUUUCGUUGGUGAAUGAAAUUUUUUUUUCCAGAAAAUAUAUUUUAGUGUUUAGUUAAAUAGUAAAAAUACAUUUUAGAAAAUUAUUUUUGACCUUGAAAAAUAUUUUUUUUAGGGUGUGUUCGAUAUGAAGGAAGAAAAACGUUUACUAGAAAAAUAAGUUGUUUCUUGUGUAUAUUCUUGUGUUCGUUAUGCAAAUUGGGUAAGUAUGUAUUUUCUAAAAGUAUUUGUAUAUAUUUAACAAAAACAAUGAGAACGAAUAGGAUAAGAAAAAAGUUUUAAUUUUUUUUAAAAAAAAUAAAUUAAAAAAUAAUAAUUUUUUUGAGGGAGGGGGUUGGCAGAUGGGGGUUGAAGUUGUCAAAAUAGGUGGAAUAAGGGCAGGGUAAGAAAAAAAUUAUUUUUUUUUAAAAAAAUAUUUUUUUUUUGGGGGAGAGGGGCUAUUAGGGGUGGGGGUUGGGGUAGGGGAGUAAGGGUAGGGUAAUAAGAAAAUUAUUUUUUUUUUUUGAAAGGGUGAAGGGGGGGGGGGGGGUUGGGGGGGGGGGGGGGGGGGUGGAGGUGGGGGGGGGGGGGGGGGGGGGUGGGGGGGGGGGGUUGGGGGGGGGGGGGGGGGGGGGGGANNNNNNNNNNNNNNNNNNNNNNNNNNNNNNNNNNNNNNNNNNNNNNNNNNNNNNNNNNNNNNNNNNNNNNNNNNNNNNNNNNNNNNNNNNNNNNNNNNNNNNNNNNNNNNNNNNNNNNNNNNNNNNNNNNNNNNNNNNNNNNNNNNNNNNNNNNNNNNNNNNNNNNNNNNNNNNNNNNNNNNNNNNNNNNNNNNNNNNNNNNNNNNNNNNNNNNNNNNNNNNNNNNNNNNNNNNNNNNNNNNNNNNNNNNNNNNNNNNNNNNNNNNNNGUAGGGGAUUGGGGUUGGAGUAGGGAUGAGUGAUUUUGAGAGUUGUAUGAAUAUUUCAAUUUAAUAGUACGGUUGAAAGAGAGUUUUGAAAAAUGUUUUCCUUACUUUUUAAAUGGAAGUCAUUUUCUUUAGAUUUAGAAAAAUAAGUUGAUUUGAAAAACUUUUUGCAAAACCUUUAAGUCAACCAAAUAUAAGAAAAUUGGAAAAUAUUUUCUGGAAAAUAUUUUCCUUCAUACGAAACACACCCUUAAUGAAAAUUAUAUUUUCUGAAGAUACAAUCUCAUAUGCACCCUCCAUUUAAGUGAUUUUUGGUCUUUUAAACAUGUUUUAAAAUAAGUGAUUUGUUAAGAAGAUAUUAAUAAGUUAGAUUAUACUUGGUAUAUUGUAGUCGUUGUUGUAUAAUUAUCCUUAUGGAAAAUGCAUAGAUUAAUAUGAGUCUUGGCCUUGGCCUUGGCCAGUAGCCACUCCGCCAGUUUAUCAUCCUACAAUCUUUUUUUAUCUAUAUGUCCUCAUAUUUUGAACCACCCUUUAGAAUAUAUUAUAUCCCUUCGAUUUGAUCAGGCAGGAUACUGUGGUCAGUACCAAUCACAUGGUUUUGAUUGGUGACACAUAUAAUUGACUACACAGGUGAACUUAUUAAUAUAGAUGAAUCAUGCUAUAACAACUCAUGCCACACUACUUCUGCAUUUACCACACUUUUUAAUGUCUUGUAUGGGCAUCCACUCCUAUCCCUAGUUAUUCCUUAUAAUCUUUCAUCGGUGACACUCUUUAUUUCGAUUUGGAUGCACGUAUGCCACAUAAUCAAAUGUUCUUUUGUUUUUUAUUUGAUAUACAGUUCAAGUGAAUAAAAAAGAUCUUUUAAAUCUUGUGAUUUUAAACUAAAAGUACGUAGACUAUGACAAACUCAAAUUUUAAUAAGAACUAGAACACCAUUACGACUUAAGAACAAUAAUUGCAACACUCAAACUACGAAAUUACAAUGUAAAUAUUGAACGAGGAUUUAUUGGAAUAAUGUUGUAUUCGUCUGCUGUAAUACAUAACUUGGGUCAGUCUUGGUUUCAGCCGCUUCUGAUUUUGGCUCAUAUACAGAAAAUUGUUAUAACCUUUUUGUACAUCCUAAGUAAAUCUUCAAUAUAUAUCUCUAAUAUCGUACCUUAUUUAGAUGUGUAUCUCUUUAUUAUUUUGUACUUUACUUAGGAGUCUUGAGUCGGUUUAGUGUGGAUUUUGAAUUAGGUUGAUUUCAUUUCAUUACUUUUAUAAAUACGGCAUUGUCAACUCAAUUAACUCAAGAAAUUCAAAUAAAUUCAAUUCAUUGCGACCAUUCGUUCAUUCAAUUAUUCAAUUCAAAUCAUUCAUUCAAUCAACAAGUUCAAAUUAUUAUUCAAUUAUCUUUCAAUUUUUCCGCAAUCUUUUUAAACUUCUUUCAAUUUUUAAUAGUAUUAGAAGGUUAGACUGAUAGACUCUAAGAAUGGUGAUGAGAGAGUCAAUAGUUUACUCAACAAUUUGCAUAAGCCUAUUUUUUAUCCAUAAGUUGCUAUUUAUCAACCCGAAUUCUACACAUAGCCGCUUAUUGCAAUGUUAGGCUGCUUUGCCAAUACUGCCAUCCACAAUAUAGACAGUGUCAAAAUACACUUUAAUCUCGUGAUCUUAAAUAUGUACUUCCUCCAUCACAAAUUCCUCGUCUCAAAUUAAGAUAACACAUUGAUUAAAAAAAUUAAUUAAUAACAUGACUAGUUUAUCAUAGUGUUCCUAUUAAAUGAUGUUUACAUUUUAAUUUGAAGAAAAAGUAAUUAAUGCAAAGAGUAAAACAUGAAAAAAAAAUUGUCUCUUUUUGAUUAAUGAGAAAGGACAAGUAAAAUGGAAAAUCAAAUUAGGAAAUUUGGGACGGAGAGAGUAUUAUGAAAAGAUGGAGUUAAAGAAUUACCAAAAAGGGAAAGAGACAGUUUUCUUAAAGCGAAUUAAAUAGGAAAGUAAGACAAAUAAAUUAAAAUGAUUGGUGUAAUUAUUAGUGCUUUAAUCGAAAUUCAAGAGCUUAAGAAUUCGGGUUCAAUGGAGAUUACUGAACUUAGUUUUGACGUUAGUACUGGUGUCUGGUGACUUGUGUAUAAAACAUCCGUGGAAGGUUCAUGGAGCUCCGUUAAGCUUGUUACUAUUGUAAGAGAUAAAAUUAAGUAAAUAAAAUAUAUUUUAAUUAGCUUUUCAAUUUUUUUGACGUAUUUCUUAUAUUGAACAAUUAUUUAUAAAAAUAGUUUUAAAAAAUUAAAAAAAAGAGGUUCAAGCUGAAAAUCGAACGAAUGAUUAAAAACUGGAAUACCUACCUAACGUUAUUUUAUCCAUGGUCUGAAUUGUCUGAAAAUUUGUUUUUUUUUUUUUUUUUUUUAAAUACAUACUAUUUUAAAUUGUACGGUUACUGGGGGCAGACAUGGGCAGAUUUAUUUUAUUGGGUAUGGGUUCUCAUAGAUUAACUUUUUGCAAAUCUUAGAUUGCAAAACUUCAUAAAUAUAUAUAUAUACUAGAUAUUCUAGUCCGUGCCAGCACGGAUCCAAUAUAUAUUAUUUAUGUUAUCUCAAUUUAUGUAGCACAAAUAACAUUUGGAGUGUCAGUAAAUUUUUUAUUAAUAUAAAUUUUAAAAUAAUUUAAGUUGAUAAUCAUUGUGAUUUAUAGUAUCUUUUAUAUAAUUUAGUAAAUUAUGUAACUCGCUUUGUCUCAAUUUUAGAAUUUAGUGAGUCAAUCAAUUUUUUUUUUACUAAUAUAUUUUUUAAAAUAUUUUAAGUUGUUAAUCUUUAUGAUUUUAGUAUCUUUUAAUGUAAUUUCAAAUAAUUUAUGUUACUUGCUUUAUCGCAACUUAUGUGACGCUAUAGAAUUUCAAAAGUCAAUCAUAUAUUUUACUAUAUGUUUUUAAAAUAUUAUAAGAUGUUAAUAGUUAUGACUUAUAAUUAGUUUUUGCAUAAUUUUUAAAUAUAUAAUAUUUUACCAAAAUAAAGUAAUAAAUUAAGAUAAACAAAGUACUAAAUUUUCAAAAUAUGUUAAAUUCGAAAACAUCAUUUAGAUCAAUAAAUUACUAAAUUAAAACAAUGAAACAUGCAAAUUAUAAAAUGCCAAAAUUAUCCCGAAUUUAUGUGACACAAAUAUAAUAUAGAUAAUCAAUCAGAUUCUUAAUAUGUUUUAAAAUAUUUUAAAUUGUUAGCUAUUGUAAUUUAUAAUAUUUUUUAUGUAAUUUUCAAAUAAUAUAUGUUACUCUCGUUAUCCAAAUUUUUGUGGCAUUGAUAUUCAAUUAUAUUCUUAAAAUAAUUUAAGUUUUUAAUUAUUAUGAUUUAUAAUACUUUUUCUUCUAUUCCAAUUUAUGUAGCACUGAAAUAAAUUCGAGAGACAACCAAAUUUUAUGAUUGAAGCAGCGAAGAGGAUAUGUCCUAAGUGACUUAUAAUACCUAAAUAGAAGUGGUAUAACAAAAUUACUAUAAGAAAAUAUUUGUGAUUUUUUUUUAAAUGAGUCACAUAUAAGAUGUCAUGUUAAUUUAAAACAUCAAGCAUUAAUUUAUCAUUUUAUGUCAAUUUUAUUUUUAUUAAAUAUUAUCAAAUUUUUAAUACCUAAAUGACUUAUAAUAAUUAAUUAGGGGUGAUAUAGUAAAAUUACGAUUGAAGUAGCUGAAGUAGACAUGUCAUAAAUGUCUAUUUUACCUUUUUAUAUUAAAUAUUAUUAAUUUUUUUUUAUGUAAAUGUCUUACAAUAAUUAACUAGGGGUAAUAUAGUAAAAUCAUGAAGCAAACAUACUUGUGAAUUUUUUUAAACGAGUCUCAUAUAAGAUGUCCUAUUAAUUUAAAAUAUCAAGAAUUAGUUUAUCAUUUAUAUCUAUUUUAUUAGUUAUUAAAUAUUAUUAAUUUUUUAAUACCUAGAUGACAUAUAAUAAAUAAUUUGAGGUGAUCUAAUAAAACUAUGAUUGAAGCAACUGAAAUAGACAUGUCAUAAAUAUCUAUUUUACUCCCUUUUUAAUUAAGUAUUAUUAAUUUUCUUAUAUAUAAAUGACUUAAAAUAAUUAAUUAGGGUUAAUAUAGUAAAAUUACGGAGCAACUGAAGCAAGUGAAGAAGUAGGCAUGUUGACGAAGAGCUGCCUGCUUCUUCACUCUUAUUAUUGUAGUAAUAUAUAUAAAUAUAUAUAUAUAUAUGAUAGGCUAGUCACAUUCGUGGAGAACAUAUUAGGUCCUUCAUCAUGUUCGUGAUGUGGCGGUCGCAUUUAUGAAGGUCUAGGCUUGGUCAGGAGUAAUCUAUAUAUAUAUAUAUACACACACACAUAUAUACUAGAUAUCAAGGGGCUCGUGUCAAUAUAUAUUUUUUUGUCUCAAUUUAUGUAACACCCCAGCCUUUUUUAUGCUUAAAAUGUGUUUGAAAUAAGCUCUUAAGAUCCCAAUAUCGUAGAUAAACCACCUAAGAUUGGGUUAGAAUGGGUUGGGGGUGUUUUUAGGCUUAUAAAAAAACCCUUACGUCGCUAAAUGGGUACCUUGUGGCAACACCACUCAGCAAAGGGGCCCUCGAUAGUCUACUGCCUCAAGUUCACGCCGGGGGUCGAGCCACGAACCUCCAGGUUUGCCCUAUGGUUCGCGCCAUGAACCUCCUGCUUAGUGAUGGGUUCGCGCCGCGAACCCCCUCACCGUGCAUCGAUUAGGCUCCGUUUUAGUUAUAUUUUAAGGACACUAUAGUCUUUUCACACCCUUAAGUCGUUCUCAAUCCUCUAUGUAUUUAAUUAGUGUCUUAAAAAUGACAUUUUAUCUCAGAAAUCUCCUGACCAUCAUUCAAAAAGCAAAAGAGGAGAAAACCAUCUAGGGUUUGAGAAUUCUAAGCUUCGAGAGUCAAUUUAUGUUACGUUCUCUCCAUUUCAAGGUAUAUAGAUCGAACUAUCCUAACUCUCAUGGACACAAGUAUGAUGUUUUAGUAACCCUAUAUUAUAUAUGUAUAAAUUAGUGCUUUGAAAUUGAUUGAAAAACAUAAAUUACAAAACCACUUUCCAUGAUGUAUUAUGCAUUUACUAAGGAGUUUUGAUGAACUUGAGAUUUGACUGAUGUAUGUACAUUAUGAGUUUAAAGUGUUUGAAUUGUGAAUCCCGAUUUUUAUGACAAGAAUUAUGCGUUUUAUAAUUUUUGUAGGUUCUCAAAUGAGUACGAAAAGAUUGAUAUUUCAAAUGCUCUUUUAUAAUAUUGUGCACUGAUUUCCUUAUAUGAUUUCUAUAGAGCAGUUAAUGUAUUCUAAAACACUUUUAUUUAUAAUGAAAAUUGUAUGAAUUAUGAAAGAGAUGACCACCUAUGUGUUAUGUCUUGAAAGAAAUUUGUUUUGCCUAAACCUGUAUGUCCUUUAUGGUGGUCAAUAAUAAGUUUUUGAAUAAGAGGGCUAUGGAUAAGAUAUUAUAUGAUAUGGCUUACAAGUCUAGAUAUGACGAUACCUUGUUAUGAUAUGCCCUUAAUAGAAUAAAAAAUAGAUUUUAUAAGAAAGAAGUAUGAUUUUAAGAGGCUAAAAAUGGGCUCUAAGGGAGCUAGAUGGUCCUCGAAGAAGGCAUGGGUUCAAAUAACUCAUUGCUGAAAAUCGUGUUUUGCCGACGCAGGUUUAUUAUGUUCUAAAAUAUGGAUUGUACGCUUGCUAUGUGCUUUUGGAGUAUUAUAUAAAAGAAACUCCAAUCCUUGUGGCAAACUUGGGUUGGGGGCUUGGCCGAUGAAUUAAUGGCAAAUUUCAUAUAGCUCAUGGGAUUGUAGAACUGUAGGGUGUGUCAUCUAGCUCAGAAGUAAAAUAAAGAGUGUUGUCUAUGCUUUUACAAGAAUGAUUUGAACCCCUCUUUAUAAUGCCCAUAUGUUUUGAUCUCUAUUAUGGUAAACUAUUUUUAUAAUGCUCUCGAUUAUUUUAUAUGAAAUGUACGUUAUUUUUGGUUAGUUCUGCAUACCAAUGCAUUUCAAGUAUUGACUGUCCUCGUGGAGACUGCAUUGUCUUAUAAUGUAGGUUUUGAGGCACAGUCCCGUGGUCCAGCUCAGAAGUAGAUUACUUUUAGAAAUUUAGAGUUGGUGAGCCUCCCUUACUUCGUAAGGCGUUUUAUCCAUAUGUUGAUUUUAUUUAGUUUCAUGGUCCGACCGAGGGCCUUGUCCCAGCUUAGACAAACUAGUGUUUCAAUAGUGGCAUUGUAGACGGGUUUAGAUUGGAUUUAUAUUUAUUUUUUGAUGACUUGAUGUAUUAAAUUCGAUUAUGAGAUUUUCCUUUUUUCAGUUUAUCUUCCGUUUUACACAUAUAUAUUAUGCUCAUGAUAAUAUGAUAAAAGCUCUCUGGGCCUUCAUGGUUCAGGAUGCCCUUUGCGGAUAGGGCCUCGGCUUGGAUCAUGGUAAACUUGGUAUCAGAGCAUGGUUCAGGUCCCAGGGUGUUUAUGAAGCCGUGUUGAGUAGAGUUCUUUUUAUGGAUGUAUUGCGCGCCACACUUAUAAGAAGGAAGCUAUGAGGUAUUUAGGAAUGUUUCCCUUUUCUUCAUGUUCUAGUUCGUGAUAUAGUCUGAAUAUUUCCUAACACAUUACUUUUUGUAUUUUAGAUUGUGCUUCCCCAACGAUCCAAUGGUCAGAACCCCUCAACGGGACACUCCGUUCCUAUCGGGACAAAUGCUGAGGAGAUCUGCCCUACUAAUGGGAUGUGGACCUAUUAUAGAGCCUAUACUCUGGAGUUCACUUCUCUUUCAGGGGUUCCACCAGUCCCAACUAGCCCUCCUCGAGUUUCUCAGUCUGGUAUCAAUCAUACUCACUCUCCACAGAGAAAGGUCUCGAAUGUGGAGUUCUAUCAAUCCAUAUAUAUGCUUGCUCAGCUUGUAGCUUUGCAGUCUCGUCGGUCUAGAAAUGUGAGUUUCCUGACUUGUUCUGCCGAAAUCACUCAGAUUGGUCAGUUCAUGCGAUUGAACCCAUCCAUCUUUAUGGGCACCAAGUUUAAGGAGGAUCCUCAAGGAUUUUUAGAUGAUAUGGAGAAGAUAUUUAAAGUCAUGCAUGCCAGCGAUACUGAGGGAGUAGAGUUUGCGGCCUAGUAUUCAUUGUCUUAUAAGGAAGUCCCGAUUAAUAUAUUGGAUAGGAAAGUUUGUAGGUUGAGAAUAAAGGAUAUAGCUUCGGUGAAGGCUCUUUGGAGGAAUGAAAAGGUAGAAGAGAUUACAUGGGAGUCUGAAGAAGAUAUGAAAGCCAAAUACCCAUUUAAGUUUUCAAGGAUGGAUGAAAGUGCUUAAGGUAUGCGUUUCAUUUUUCUCGUCGCAUUUCAAAUUUAUCAUUGGAUUCUGAUGUAUUCAUCCUAUUAUCGUGCAAAAAAUAUCCUAACUUCUCAUUCAGGGAUAAAUGAUCCAAAAUAGGGGGAUAAUGUAAGACCCCCAAAAAAUUCGACCAUUUUAUUUUUGAACUUUCCGCGUGCGUAAUGAUAAUUUUUUACUUGAAUCAUGAUUAGGGAUGUUAAAGGGAUAUUUUGAGAAAGUUUCAGAAUUUUUAAAAGGGGUUUGAGGUUAUUUUAGGACUCUGAGGUAGUGGGAUCUGCGAUAGUGGUGUGCCACGCCACUUAAGUUCUGCGAUAGGAGCGUGGAACAGAGGCUACCCUUUGCAAUAGCAGCAUGCCAUACUGCUGUGCAUUUUUCGUCUAUUUUUAUUUUUUUCACCUGGGGUGAGGGUUUUUUUUGAUCCUUUACCCCUAAACGACUUUAAAACACCCAAUUGACCCCCUUUGCCUUUAGUUAUCAAGAUCAAACAUUACACUUAUCCUCUUUAACUCCCAAACCAAAAAAUUCAAGAGUUCUACAAGGAAUUUAUCAUUCGGGCUCUAAACUGCGACUUCUCUUUAAUGUAUUCUAUAUUUAAGGCAUGUUUAUCAUUCUUAGCUUGUAUUUUUCAUUGUGACAUUAUUUUAACUAAUAUUCAUAUGUUUUGAAUGAUGAGUUUGAAAUUCGAUUGAAGAUUUUUGGUUGUUAAUACUUGAAUUACUUUUUCCAUUAUUUUAAUGUGUUACUCAUUCUUUAACUUAUGAUUUUUGGAACUGAAUUGGUGCAUUAUUAUAAUGGUUGGAAUGGGUGACAUGAGUUUUCCAAAAUAAUAAAAUUUUGGCUUUGUAAUGCCAUCAACCUUAGCCCACUUCAUAAUCUUAAUUUUGAAUAUGAAAUUUACACAAUUUAACUUACUUUUGAAACAUUGCAUUUCAUUAAAGGAUAAAUGGAUAGUAAAAAUGGUUUUGGAAUGCCCGGGGUGGCCAUAGUUUUGAAUUUUAAAUGAAACUUGGGAGUCAAAUGGUUAAAUAUUUUUGGUUGGCAUAAAUGGAAUAGAUUGUAAGCAUAUAUAUUGGUAUGAUGAUACCAAGUUGGUAAAUGCCUUAAUACAUGACUCCUUCAUUAAUGAUUGGUUUAUGUGCAAAUUAUUUUAAUUGGGCUUAAAGGGAAUUUGUAGCUCACCGAGAAGGUGUAGUCCUGGGGGGACCAACACUAAAAACCUCAUUUGUCGAUGUUAGGGGUCUAUAUGACUAUGCGUCUAAUGCACACAUGAUAUUUUGAAUGGCUAUUGCCUUGGUGUAUUUAGCCUUUUCUCGGAACAUGCGGCUAACAUGGAUUGGGGUCCUUUCGAAAUGGACCCAUAUUGCUCGUGGAUACUUGGAAUAUCGAUGCGAGCUUCAUAGUUCAGGCUAAUGUCUUAAACUAUCAUUUUUCAUAACCCUUGUAUCUAUCCCGGAAUCCUAUAUGUAUAUAUAUAAAUAUAUACACACACACACACACACACAUACAUAUAUAUGUAUAAAUUGUGAGCAUGUGGUUUUAUGGCUGGAUUUUAGUAAAUGCACUAUUUUAUCAUUUUUUUCUUGAGUCACAUGGUAGUACUCGCUCCACUGACCGUCUCCGGACGCUGCAUCAUUUCAUAAUGUAGGAUUUAAGGACUUUUCUAUUGCUCCUGUGCAGCGUUAGAUGGUUGAGUAUUUCUGUUGAUCAGUUGUGAAGUGGUAAGCCUCCAUCCUUUGAAAGGCCCGAUCAUUUCAUUAAUUUUCUUUAUUAUCUUAGUAUUUAUGGACUCUUUUUGUCAUAGUGGGGGGCAUGUACCGACUUAGUUGGUAUUCUUGAUUUAGAGGCUUUCAUGGACAAGAUUAGGAUGUCAUUGUUAUCUUACUUUGAUUCUUUAGACUUUCUUUUGGUUUUAUAUAUAUCUAUCAUUGAUUUGGUUAGCUUCAAUUGUUUAUCUUUGUUGUGAUCUUGAGGUAUGGCUAAGGGGGUUGUCUUCGGCCCAUGGUGCGCUUAAGAUAUCCAUCACGAUUAGGCCCGGGUGACAACUUCAUCUUCAACAUGUUUUGAAUCAUAAACUUUUUCAUUCUCUUCCGUCGAAACUUUGAUAUCUUUGAAUUUCCUCUUCUUUGCUGCUUUGGUAUCAUUUGUAGAACUUAACGAAGAAUGCAUAAAAAUAUUUUUUUCGGUCCUUUACUUUCAUGUACUCCUUUGUAUGGACAGGAUCAUUGCGAUCUUUUCAAUCUCAUAAAUAAAUUUUUUCAAUCAUUUGAAUCAAGUAAAUUGAUUACUUGAAACUUAAAUAAUACUGCGAAUUGGUGAAAUUAAAAGAAAUUUUGCGAUGCAUAGAUGAAGUACAACAACAACAAACCCAGUGUAUUCUCACAUAGUGAGGUCUGGCGAGGGUAAGAUGUACGCAGUCCAUACCUCUACCUCUAAAGAAGUAGAAAGGUUGUUUUCGAUAGACCCUCGGCUCGAGACAUGGAAUACUACACAAAUACAUAGUAAAGGAUGGAACAAGAUGUCAUAACAUAAAUACGACACCCACAAGUAAUAGAAAAUAGAGAAAAGUAAACAGAUUCGUAAUAAAGCAUGAAACAAUGUAUCAUAACAAGAAUAAUACCCCUACCAAGUAAUUCCCUACUCUAGCGACCCAAACUAACCCUAGCCUUCU